rnacentral:rRNA from 1 species
ACGUAUGGUGCAAGCGUUAUCCGGAUUUACUGGGUGUAAAGGGAGCGCAGGCGGUGCGGCAAGUCUGAUGUGAAAGCCCGGGGCUCAACCCCGGUAUUGCAUUGGAAACUGUCGUACUAGAGUGUCGGAGGGGUAAGUGGAAUUCCUAGUGUAGCGGUGAAAUGCGUAGAUAUUAGGAGGAACACCAGUGGCGAAGGCGGCUUACUGGACGAUAACUGACGCUGAGGCUCGAAAGCGUGGGGAGCAAACAG